rnacentral:rRNA from 1 species
GACGACGCUGGCGGCGUGCCUAAUACAUGCAAGUCGAGCGAGCGGCGGACGGGUGAGUAAUGUAUGGGGCUCUGCCCGAUAGAGGGGGAUAACUACUGGAAACGGUGGCUAAUACCGCAUACUAUCGGCUGAACCCAUAUGGGAUUAGCUAGUAGGUGGGGUAAAGGCUCACCAAGGCGACGAUCUCUAGCUGGUCUGAGAGGAUGAACAGCCACACUGGAACUGAGACACGGUCCAGACUCCUACGGGAGGCAGCAGUGGGGAAUAUUGGACAAUGGGCGCAAGCCUGAUGCAGCCAUGCCGCGUGUAUGAAGAAGGCCUUAGGAUUGUAAAGUACUUUAAGCGGGGAGGCGUUACCCGCAGAAGAAGCACCGGCUAACUCCGUGCCAGCAGCCGCGGUAAUUC